rnacentral:rRNA from 1 species
UACGGAGGGUGCGAGCGUUGUUCGGAAUCACUGGGCGUAAAGGGCGUGUAGGCGGUCCGCUAAGUCUGAUGUGAAAGCCCGGGGCUCACCCCCGGAAGUGCAUUGGAAACUGGCGGACUCGAGUCCCGGAGAGGAGGGUGGAAUUCCUGGUGUAGCGGUGAAAUGCGUAGAUAUCAGGAGGAACACCGGUGGCGAAGGCGGCCCUCUGGACGGUGACUGACGCUGAGACGCGAAAGCGUGGGGAGCAAACAGG